GAUUAGAUACCCCACUAUGCCUAGUCGUAAACUUUAAUCUACUCCUACAUCGCCCGGGAACUACGAGCUAAGCUUAAAACCCAAAGGACUUGACGGUACCCCAUAUCCCCCUAGAGGAGCCUGUCCUAUAAUCGAUAACCCCCGUUUAACCUCACCAUUUUUUGCCAGUCAGCCUGUAUACCUCCGUCGUCAGCUUACCACGUGAGCGUCAGUGAGCCUAAUGUUUCUCCAACUACACGUCAGGUCAAGGUGCAACAUAUAAAAUGGGAAGAGAUGGGCUACACUUUCUACCAUAGAAUAAACGAAAGACUAAUGAAACCUAGUCAGAAG
rnacentral:rRNA from 1 species